GGAAAAUUGUUACAUAGAAACUAUCCUUUUUAUAAAACGAGAAAGACUUUAUCGUGCGUCAUUUAAAUAGGCAUCAGCAGUAUUUGGUCCCAUUUUGUAAAUGGCAUCACGCAAACUCCCUUCUACUGUCUCAAAGGUUACAAUGGGAGUUUAUGAAUAACAUAGAGCUGUUAUCAUCAACAUUCCACUGUUUCCAUGGUGAAUGCCC